rnacentral:ncRNA from 1 species
AGCAAAACGUUGAAGGAAACAGUAAAAGUAGCUUAGGGUUUUCAGAGAGCUGUUAUUGGUGAGAGACAGCAAUCCUAUUUAUUUUGAACAUCAUUCCUGAGUUGAUGUCGAUACGUAGAACAUCAUGGCUGCCACCAUUAUCUGGCUAGCGGAUCGCUGUCAUCGUCCGUGAAAUAAGUUUAAAAAAGGUGGUACCGUUCGAUUAUUCGAGCCCUUUUC